rnacentral:piRNA from 1 species
UUAAAUGUCAAGCAACAGGAUUUUCAAAUC